AUCACCACUUUAUUUUAAGAAUGUGAAAUGUCAGAAUAAUAUUAGAAAGUGUCACGUUCGUCGAAAGGUACGGACCAAGGCGCGUAGAGUUCCAAAUACUUUAUUACAAAGUGAAACUUCACAAAACCAACAAAGAAUAAACAAACAUCCAGUACAGCGCGCACUUAGACACUAACUGAAAACAAUAUCCCACAAUGCAGGAGGGGGCAAUUGACAACUUAAAUAUGAUCCCCAAUUAGAGACAACAAAAAUCACCUGCCUCUAAUUGAGAACCAUACUAAAACACCCACAUAGAAAUAUAACGAGUAGAACACCCCCGAGUCACGCCCUGACCUAAAGCACGUGACAGAGAGAAUGAUUUAUUUCAGCUUUUAUUUCUUUCAUCACAUUCCCAGUGGGUCAGAAGUUUACAUACACUCAAUUAGUAUUUGGUAGCAUUGCCUUUAAAUUAUUUAACUUGCGUCAAACGUUUUGGGUAGCCUUCCACAAGCCUCCCACAAUAAGUUGGAUGAAAUUUGUCCCAUUCCUCCUGACAGAGCAAGGCCUCCUUGCUCGCACACACUUUUUCAGUUCUGCCCACACAUUUUCAAUGGGAUUGAGGUCAGGGCUUUGUGAAGGCCACUCCAAUACCUUGACUUUGUUUUCCUUAAGCCAUUUUGCCGGAACUUUGAAAGUAUGCUUUGGGGUCAUUUGCGACCAAGCUUUAACUUCCUGACUGAUGUCUUGAGAUGUUGCUUCCAGUUAUCACAUAAUUGUCCUCCCUCAUGAUGCCAUCUAUUUUGUGAAGUGCACUAGUCCCUCCUGCAGCAAAGCACCCCCACAACAUGAUGCUGCCACCCCCGUGCUUCAAGGUUGGGAUGGUGUUCUUCAGCUUGCAAGCCUCCCCCUUUUUACUCCAAACAUAACUAUGGUCAUUAUGGCCAAACAGUUAUUUUUGUUUCAUCAGACCAGAGGACAUUUCUCCGAAAAGUACGAUCUUUAUCCCAUGUGCAGUUGCAAACCGUAUUCUGGCAUUUUUAUGGCAGUUUUGGAGCAGUGGCUUCUUCCUUGCUGAGUGGCCUUUCAGGUUAUGUCAAUAUAGGACUUGUUUUCCUGUGGAUAUAGAUACUUUUGUACCUGUUUCCUCCAGCAUCUUUACAAUGUCCUUUGCUGUUGUUCUGGGAUUGAUUUGCACUUUUUGCACCACAGUACGUUCAUCUCUAGGAGACAGAACGCGUCUCCUUCCUGAGCGGUAUGACGGCUGCGUGGUCCCAUGGUGUUUAUACUUGUGUACUAUUGUUUGUGCAGAUGAACAUGGUACCUUCAGAUGUUUGGAAAUUGCUCCCAAGGAUGAACCAGACUUGUGGAAGUCUACAAUAUUUUUUCUGAGGUCUUUUUUUUCUGAGGCUGAUUUCUUUUGAUUUUCCCACAAUGUCAAGCAAAGAGGCAGUGAGUUUGAAGGUAGGCCUUGAAAUACAUCCACAGGCACACCUCCAAUUGACUCAAAUUAUGCCAAUUAGCCUAUCAGAAGUUUCUAAAGCCAUGACAUAAUUUUAUGGAAUUUUCCAAGCUGUUUAAAGGCACAGUCAAUUAAGUGUAUGUACACUUCUGACCCACUGGAAUUGUGAUACAGUGAAAUAAUCUGUCUGUAAACAAUUGUUGGAAAAAUGACUUGUGUCAUGCAAAAAGUAGAUGUCCCAACCGACUUGCCAAAACUAUAGUUUGUUAACUGCCUUGCUCUGGGGCGGAACGACAGAUUUUUACCUUGUCAGCUCGGGGAUUCGUUUUUGCAACCUCAACAUUAAACUCUAAUUUCAUUCAAACAACAGGACACCACUCAUUCUAAGCCUCCAGUCUGAAGUGUCCUAACCAUUGAACUUGUCUGUUUCUCUCUGCAUUAAAGUUGGAUCAAGUGAGCUGUGACCUGCUUAGAGAGAAUGCUCCUAUUGAGCCUGUGCCACCUGGAAAUCUGACUGUGUUGAGUGAUGGCUGUGCUUAAUCCCGGAGAUAGAUGCAAUUACCCACUUCACCUUUUUCUUUAUCAUGAAGAUGGAAGGCUACCUCGAUCCGUCGCUACAUCCACCGUGCAGACAGCAAGCAGAGGACAGAUGCUCUGCAGUUUCCCCCAGAAGGUUGGCGGCGGCUGGGCCUGAAUAACGGCAGCAUCACCUGGAUCACCGAGUGGCAGGGUGGGACUGAGGACGGGCGACUCGGGCUUUAUGCCUCCUGAAAAACUUACUGACACUCCACCACUAUUGGCUGACCCCAUGUAACCUGACCUUCUGCUGCCACAUCAUUUGAAGCAAACAUUUCUCCUCGACAAGAUUGAUUCCCAACGUGGGCAAAACUUUCUUUUGAC